rnacentral:lncRNA from 1 species
GUCCACAUAGUUUUUAAACCACUCCUUUGCUUUCUUGCAUUUCAAUGUGAACCCCGCCAUCUGAAUGGCUCUACUGUCACUAGCUCCCAACUCGUCAGUUAUCAUCUUUACCGUCUUGAGAUACUCAAACGGAUCAUCACCUGUUUUGUACUUGGGAGCAUCCAACUUCAAAUAAUCUAUCAUCUUCACCUUGCUCCCAACUGAUGAGUUAGGU